AGUCUAGUGCCCUAGACAUGGCACUCAGAGGAGGGAGAGCUGGGAUCCGGUUCCGCGCGCAGUGCUGAGUCUCCCCUGAUUUGCGGUAGUGGAGCAGUCCACCCGGAGAACUCAGGAGUUUUCGCAGGGCGAGGGGGAGGGCUGGAGCCUGGAACCCCCAUAUUCCUUGCACCUCUUGGGCCCGGGACAGGCAGCCCUUAGUCACUGGGGUGUCCAUAGUGCCCACGAAGGGCCAGCGUCCCAGAGGGUUCCCAGGUCAGGUUGGUGACGUGUGGGGCUUCCCUAACUUCGUAGGCAAAAUCUGCCAGACCCUCCCGGGGGAGCGGAGCUCCGAAUACCAGGGCCGACUCCGCUCCUGAGGCCGCUGAGCCCUCCUGCACCUGUCCGGCCCGGGAAGUGCCAUGGGACAGCUGAUCGCCAAGUUAAUGAGCAUCUUCGGGAACCAGGAGCACACGGUCAUCAUCGUGGGACUGGACAAUGAAGGAAAGACCACCAUUCUCUACCGGUUGUAAGUGACUCUCGGGCGGGGAGGGUAGAGAGCUGGGCCUCCCACCAGACUGACAGGCAGGGGGACCAAUCACUGGAGCUCUUCCCUGGGUUCCCGGGCUCCUC
rnacentral:lncRNA from 1 species